GUGCUCGCUUUGGCAGCACAUUUACUAAAAUUGGAAUCAUACAGAGAAGAUUAUCAUGACCCCUGUGCAAGGAUGACACACAAAUUUGUGAAGUGUUUCAUAUUUUU
ensembl:snRNA U6 U6 spliceosomal RNA